rnacentral:tRNA from 1 species
AAGCCCAAGCGGUAGAAUACACCAAAAUGCAAAUUUGGAGACGUACCCAGAAGGUGCCGGGGCUUC